CUUCUUUUCCGCGCGCACAGCACCUCGGUCACUGAAUCAUCGAAUUCACGAACUGCUCAUCGAAUUCACCCCACCGAACUCGAUUCGUAGGCACUACCGAAUCGCAAAUCCCAAACCCGAAUCAGUGGACUACGAAUCCGGUAACUAUGGCAGGGACUGGCAAGUGGGAACAUACGUCUGGUGGCGUAAAGGACGACGGGUGGUGGUAGGGCUAUGGGCGGAGCCGGUAGACGGAGGAGGUUGCCUGUGGAAAUCUGGCAUGUGGCGGCAUAAAGGCGUAAAGGACGACGGGUGGUUGUAGUGCUAUGGGAGGAGCAGGUAGGGCUAUGGCG